UCUUUCUGAAGUUUUCUGCCUUGUCAGGCUGCCCCUUUCCUGGGGAGAAAGGCAGGCCUUCGUUGGGGCUGGGUCUGCAGUGUCUCCAGGUUGCGGCCUUCCUUACCUCCAAGCCUGGGACACUCAGGGCAAAAAGAAAAGCCAGGGAAGCCCAUUGCUGUGCUAUUUGUUCCUUGGGUCCCGAGGUCCCUGGCCAUUCUGCCUUCUCUUCACCUUCCUCUUCUUAACAUUUCUUUGUCUGUGGUUUCCAGGGCUUUAGUUGCUGUAUUUAGCAGGAGGAAUAGGAAAAAGCACAUCGACUCUGUUUUCCCAGGAGCAGAGAUCUCUCAGGUGAGUUUGACUAGCUUUUUAUUGCAUACUUCUUUUUUUCUGAUAUAAAUCUUUAGGAGUUCCCAUUGCGGUAACGAACUCAAUUAGCCCUUAAUCCACUGAGCGAGGCCAGGGAUCAAACCCUCAACCUCAUGGUUACUAGUCUGAUACAUUCCUGCUGCUCCACAAUGAAACAUCCAUGACUCUGACAUUUUUGAAAAUUGUAGUCCAGUAAUUACAUAGAAUAUCCUUCAGUUAUAUAGAAUUUCCUCAAUGUAUGUGAUGUUUCUCAUGAUUGGAUUUGGAUUUUUUUUCUAGCAGGAACAUUACAUGAAUGCUCUGUCUUUCUCAGUGCAUCUUAUCAGGUGAUACGGUAUAUCAAUAGGACCCAUCACUGGUGAUGUACAGACAUUGAGAGCUUGAUUAAGGGAAAUCUCCCUAGUCCUCUCCAUUGUCAAGUUUUUCUUUUAAUUUUUGUAACUAAGAAGCACUUUUCGUGGGGAGAUACUUUGAUAGUAUUUGAAUAUCCUAUCCUCAAUCCAACUUAAGCCACAAGAGGCAGCAUCCAUUGACAAUUCUUGCACACAUCAAUUGUUGCCAAAAAGGUUGAAAAACUAUACUUUUCUUUAGGUGACUUAAGUUUAUUCCUUUUGUCUUGUAACCAAAAGAACCUCACUAAAGCCAAAGUUAGAAUGGAAUGUUUCUAUCAGGGGUUUGUAUGGCAAAGCCACUAAUUGGCCAACCCCUGGGGUCUCUCAGACUCUCUGCAUGGGUGCUCCAUUGGGGGGUGGGCGGGGUGUGAUGGUUUGGUGGCUGUAGCUCUGGAUCAUUUCUAAGGUGGGGGGGGGAUUGUUUUUGAGUGCUCUAGACUGGAUUAGUUACUGUAUUAUAAAUUCCUUACUAUCUUGCCAAACCUGUACUGAUACUUUGUUUUAGUAUAUGUGCUGCCAAGCAAGCACGGAUACUUUGUUUUAAUGUCUGUCUCCCUCCCUAGAGAGUAAGCUUUGGGACCUUCGGAAACAUAGCCUUUGAUCUAAGGGGUAGAAACUGCCGCAUGGAUUAAAGGAGAAAUGACCACGUCAAAUACGACACCUCUUUGGCUUGUCUCGCUGUGUCUCACGUCUCGGUUUUAUAUGCUUCCUCUGGCAUCUUUUUAUUAUAGUCUUAAUACUACCUGCACAUUUUGCUGAAAAGAUGCCAUUUUUUGGAGCCUGAAUUCGCCCUGCUCUGUCACUCAACACCAGUCCAGCCACUUUCCUGCAGGGGUAACAUUCAGUGUUGUGUGUUUUGCAGCUCCAGUGCCUGGCACGGUGUUUGAUAAAUAUUUAUUGACUGAGUGAAUGAAUGUAAGUAGGGGAGGCAGACAACAGUGGGUAGGGUCUGCGAUGUCCUGGCUGAAUAGCAAUUCUUGACUGUAAUGUGCUCAAAUCCAUCAGUGUUUCCCUUUAUGGUUUGCAGUUUCAUGAAUUUAAGAAAAUUCCAUGAAGGAGUUCCCAUUGUGGUGCAGCAGAAACGAAUCCGGCUAGGAACCAUGAGGUUUUGGGUUCGAUCUCUGGCCUCACUCAGUGGGUUAAGGAUCCAGCAUUGCUAUGACUGUGGUGUAGGCUGGCAGCUGUAACUCUGAUUCGACCCCUAGCCUGGGAACCUCCAUAUGCCGCAGGUAUAAGCAAAAAAAAAAAAAAAAUCCAUGAAACUAACAUGACAUUGUAAAUCAUACUCCAAUAUAACAUAAAAAUUAAUAAAAAGGAAAAAAGAAGAAAUUCUAUCCCAAGGUCACAAAAUUACUCUCCUAUAUCUUCUUUUGUUAGCUUUAUAGUUUGGCCAUGUGUUCUAAAGUCCUUAAUCCAUCUGGAGCUUACUUUUUUUUUUUUUUUUUUUUUUUUUUUUUUUUUUUGUCUACCCCCUUGGCAGGUGAGAGUUCCUGGACCAGGGAUUAAACCUGCAUCUGAGCCACUGCACUGACAACGCUGGACCCUCAACCCAUUGAGCCACAUGGGAACUCUGGAGCUCAAUUUUCUAUACGGUAUGAGGUAGGGCUAUAACUAUUUCUUUUUUUCUCUGUAGCUGAGGGGGCUACAUAUCCCCUCUGCUAUUCUAACCUGAUCCCAUUAAUGUCAUCUUACCUUUAUCCUGUCUCAAGUUGCCCUCUGCGCACAGGAUGUCUCUGCACUCUGUUCAGUUUCAGUUCCCUCCUUUGUCAGUUACUGAGCAACACCACUUGUAUUUGUGUGUGUGUGUGUGUGUGUUUGUUGUUUUGCUAUGGCUUUUGUGGUAUGUUUUACCAUCCGGCAGGGUGAUUCCCUCCUGUUUCCUCUUCUUUUUCAAAGACAAUGCAGCUAUUUUUGACCUCUAUACCAUCUAUACAUUUUGGGUAAGUUUGUCAAGUUUCUGAAAAUUUAACUUUUAUAUCAUUUUAAGAAGAAUUAAUAUCUUUAUAAUAUUGAUCCGACCCAUCCAAACAAGUAGCUCAUCUCUCCAUUUACACCAAACUUUUAUAUCUUUAACAAUUUCAAAUUUUGGAAUUCCCUGGUGGUACAGCAGGUUAAGUAUCUGGCAUUGUCACUGCUGUGGCGCAAGUUCGAUCCCUGGCCUAGGAACUUCUGCAUGCUGUGGGUAUGGCCAAAAAAAAAAAAAAAAACCACCCCAAACCAAACAGCUUCAAGUAUUUCCAAGGAAGGUUUUACAUAAAUGUAAGAAACAUUCAUAAUUAAGUUCUGAAUACUAUUGUGAAGGAUACUUUGCUUUCUACAAUUCCUAAUUAAUUAUUGCCAGUGUCAAGAGAGCUAUUAGUAUUAAAUUUUUCUUGUAUCCAGCAAAGUCCCUGACUCUCCUAGGGGUUUGAAUAGUUUGCUUAUUGUUUCUGAUUGAUAGAUUUUCUUUUUUUUCUUUUGCUUUUUUAGGGCCACACCUGCGGCACAUGGGAGUUCCCAGGCUGGGGAACUAAUCGGAGCUACAGCUGUGGCCUCUACCCUAGCCACAGCAACUCAGGAUCUAAGCCAAGAUUGCCACCUACACCACAGCUCAUGGCAACACUGGAUCCUUAACCCACUGAGCAAGGCCAGGGAUUGAACCCGCAUCCUCAUGGAUCCUAGUCGGGUUCAUUAACCACUGCACCACAAUGGGAGCUCUCUGUUCCUGAUGGAUGUUCUACAUGGGGAAUCUUAUCAUCACAGGUAAUAAAACAUUUAUCUUUUACCUUCCUGUAUCUGGCUUAUUUCGUUUUCUUAGCAUAUCGGUCAGGACCUCCAGUAUUGCAGUAGUGGCAGUCUGUCUUAUACCCAUGUGUACAGGGAGAUCAUCAUUAAAUAUAUUAAUUAGGAGUUCCCGUCAUGGCGCAGUGGUUAACAAAUCCAACUAGGAAUCAUGAGGUUGCGGGUUCCAUCCCUGGCCUUGCUCAGUGGGUUAAGGAUCUGGCAUUGCUGUGAGCUCUGGUGCAGGUCGAAGAUGCAGCUCGGAUCCCGUGUCGCUGUGGCUGUGGCGUAGGCUGGUGACUACAGCUCCGAUUGGACCCAUAGCCUGGGAAGCUCCAUAUGCCUUGGGAGCAGCCCUAGAAAAGGC
rnacentral:tRNA from 1 species